rnacentral:rRNA from 1 species
UACGAAGGGGGCUAGCGUUGCUCGGAAUCACUGGGCGUAAAGCGCACGUAGGCGGCUUUCUAAGUCAGGGGUGAAAUCCUGGAGCUCAACUCCAGAACUGCCUUUGAUACUGGAGAGCUUGAGUCCGGAAGAGGUGAGUGGAACUCCGAGUGUAGAGGUGAAAUUCGUAGAUAUUCGGAAGAACACCAGAGGCGAAGGCGGCAUCCUGGACCGGUAUUGACACUGAGGCGCGAAAGCCAGGGGAGCAAACGGG